UGAGUUGGAUUCUGGCUCAGGAUGAACGCUGGCGGCGUGCCUAAUACAUGCAAGUCGAGCGAACAGAUAAGGAGCUUGCUCCUUUGACGUUAGCGGCGGACGGGUGAGUAACACGUGGGUAACCUACCUAUAAGACUGGGACAACUUCGGGAAACCGGAGCUAAUACCGGAUAAUAUGUUGAACCGCAUGGUUCAAUAGUGAAAGAUGGUUUUGCUAUCACUUAUAGAUGGACCCGCGCCGUAUUAGCUAGUUGGUGAGGUAACGGCUCACCAAGGCAACGAUACGUAGCCGACCUGAGAGGGUGAUCGGCCACACUGGAACUGAGACACGGUCCAGACUCCUACGGGAGGCAGCAGUAGGGAAUCUUCCGCAAUGGGCGAAAGCCUGACGGAGCAACGCCGCGUGAGUGAUGAAGGUCUUAGGAUCGUAAAACUCUGUUAUUAGGGAAGAACAAACGUGUAAGUAACUGUGCACGUCUUGACGGUACCUAAUCAGAAAGCCACGGCUAACUACGUGCCAGCAGCCGCGGUAAUACGUAGGUGGCAAGCGUUAUCCGGAAUUAUUGGGCGUAAAGCGCGCGUAGGCGGUUUUUUAAGUCUGAUGUGAAAGCCCACGGCUCAACCGUGGAGGGUCAUUGGAAACUGGAAAACUUGAGUGCAGAAGAGGAAAGUGGAAUUCCAUGUGUAGCGGUGAAAUGCGCAGAGAUAUGGAGGAACACCAGUGGCGAAGGCGACUUUCUGGUCUGUAACUGACGCUGAUUGCGA
rnacentral:rRNA from 1 species